GGAGGGCAAGUCUGGUGCCAGCAGCCGCGGUAAUUCCAGCUCCAAUAGCGUAUAUUAAAGUUGUUGCGGUUAAAACGCUCGUAGUUGGAUCUGCGGCCUUGAAGGACGGUCUCCCGAAAGGGUAGUCACUGUCUCUUCUAGCCUAAAUUCAAGUUGUCUCUAUGUGCUCUUUAUUGAGUGCUUAGAGCGACUAGAACGUUUACUUUGAAAAAAUUAGAGUGUUUAAAGCAGGC
rnacentral:rRNA from 1 species